UACAGAGGGUGCAAGCGUUGCUCGGAAUCAUUGGGCGUAAAGGGCAGGUAGGUGGUCUGAUUUGUCUGGAGGUGAAAGCCUUGGGCUUAACCCAAGAAGUGCCCCGGAAACGGUCAGACUUUUGAGUCUUGGAGAGGGUUGCGGAAUUCCCGGUGUAGCGGUGAAAUGCGUAGAGAUCGGGAGGAACACCAGAGGCGAAGGCGGCAACCUGGACAAGCACUGACAUUCAACUGCGGAAAGCGUGGGGAGCAAACAGG
rnacentral:rRNA from 1 species